AUACGGAGGAUGCGAGCGUUAUCCGGAUUUAUUGGGUUUAAAGGGAGCGUAGGUGGGAUAUUAAGUCAGCUGUGAAAGUUUGGGGCUCAACCUUAAAAUUGCAGUUGAUACUGGUUUCCUUGAGUACGGUACAGGUGGGCGGAAUUCGUGGUGUAGCGGUGAAAUGCUUAGAUAUCACGAAGAACUCCGAUCGCGAAGGCAGCUCACCGGGCCGGAACUGACACUGAUGCUCGAAAGUGCGGGUAUCAAACAGGAUUAGAUUCCCUGGUAGUCCGCACAGUAAACGAUGAAUACUCGCUGUUUGCGAUACACUGUAAGCGGCCAAGCGAAAGCGUUAAGUAUUCCACCUGGGGAGUACGCCGGCAACGGUGAAACUCAAAUGAAUUGACGGGG
rnacentral:rRNA from 1 species